rnacentral:rRNA from 1 species
GACGAACGCUGGCGGCGUGCUUAACACAUGCAAGUCGAACGGAAAGGCCCCUUUGGGGGUACUCGAGUGGCGAACGGGUGAGUAACACGUGAGUAACCUGCCCUUGACUUCGGGAUAACUUCAGGAAACUGGGGCUAAUACCGGAUAGGAAUCCUUGCUGCAUGGUGGGGGUUGGAAAGCUUCGGCGGUUUUGGAUGGACUCGCGGCUUAUCAGCUUGUUGGUGGGGUAGUGGCUACCAAGGCUUUGACGGGUAGCCGGCCUGAGAGGGCGACCGGCCACAUUGGGACUGGGAUACGGCCCAGACUCCUACGGGAGGCAGGAGGGGGGAAUAUUGCACAAUGGGCGGAAGCCUGAUGCAGCAACGCCGCGGGCGGGAUGACGGCCUUCGGGUUGUAAACCGCUUUCAGCAGGGGCGAAGCUUGUGGUGACGGUACCUGCAGAAGAAGCACCGGCUAACUACGUG